rnacentral:rRNA from 1 species
AUACGGAGGAUCCGAGCGUUAUCCGGAUUUAUUGGGUUUAAAGGGUGCGCAGGCGGCCAUUUAAGUCAGCGGUUAAAUCGUGGGGCUCAACCCCAUUCUGCCGUUGAUACUGGGUGGCUUGAUUGCGGUCGAGGUUGGCGGAAUUCGUUGUGUAGCGGUGAAAUGCAUAGAUAUGACGAAGAACACCGAUUGCGUAGGCAGCUGACCAGACCGCAAAUGACGCUCAUGCACGAAAGUGCGGGGAUCGAACAGGAUUAGAUACCCUGGUAGUCCGCACAGUAAACGAUGAAUACUUGUUUUCGGCGAUAUAAUGUCGGAGGCAAAGCGAAAGCGAUAAGCAUUCCACCUGGGGAGUACGCCGGCAACGGUGAAACUCAAAGGAAUUGACGGGG